GCCAGGCACAGUGGCAUGUACCUGUAGUCCCAGCUACUCGGGAGGCUGAGGUGGGAGGAUCUCAUGAGUUCAGGAGUUCUGGGCUGUAGUGCACUAUGCCAACUGGGUGUCCACACUAAGUUCGGCAUCAAUAUGGUGACCUCCCAGGAGCAGGGAACCACCAGGUUGCCUAAGGAGGGGUGGGGUGAACCGGCCCAGGUUGGAAAUGGAGUAGGUCAAAACUCCUGUGCUGAUCAGUAGUGGGAUCGCGCCUGUGAAUAGCCACUGCACUCCAACCUGGGCAACAUAGCAAGACCCCAUCUCU
rnacentral:SRP_RNA from 1 species